UACGGAGGGGGCAAGCGUUGUUCGGAAUUAUUGGGCGUAAAGCGUAUGUAGGCGGCUAAGUAAGUCAGGCGUGCAAGCCCGUGGCUCAACCACGGAAUUGCGUUUGAAACUGUUUAGCUUGAGUACAGGAGAGGAAAGCGGAAUUCCCAGUGUAGCGGUGAAAUGCAUUGAUAUCAAGAGGAAUACCGGUGGCGAAAGCGGCUGGCUGGGGCCACUCUGACGCUGAGGCGCGAAAGCGUGGGGAGCAAACAGG
rnacentral:rRNA from 1 species